CGCAAUUUAAACAAGGGCGCACGGUGGAUGCCUAGACACCAAAAGACGAUGAAGGACGCCGCAGGGUGCGAAAAAUCUCGGUGAGGUCCCAAGCAACCUUUGACCCGGGAGUAUCCGAAUGGGGAAACCCGGUUGUGUCGCAAGACACGAUCAUUACACACUGAAUUCAUAGGUGUGUGAAGUAAACCUGGCGAAGUGAAACAUCUCAGUAGCCAGAGGAAGAAAAAUCGCAUGAGAUUCCCUUAGUAGUGGCGAGCGAAAAGGGAAAAGCACAAACCACAUAAAUGUUUCUGUAAUUCUGUGUAGUCGCAAGAUUAUUCAAGUACAGUUUAAAGGUCAGGCCGUUGUUUAUGUGGGGUUAUAAGACGUAAACGCCGAAUACCUGUUAGAUCGGGUAAAAUAAUAACUUUCCUAGUUGAAUCCUUUGGAAAGAGGAGCCGUAGAGGGUAAUAGCCCCGUAAUGCGAAAGGAGUUAUUAAAUUAUAGUUUAUGUUCUUGAGUAGGGCGAAACUCGUGAAAUUUCGUCUGAAUUUGGGCCGACUAUGGUCUAAUGCUAAAUACUUUUGGUGAUCGAUAGUGGACAAGUACCACGAGGGAAAGGUGAAAAGCAGCCCGGCGAGGGCGAUGAAAUAGUAUCUGAAACCGUGUGUCUACAAAGAGCCGGAGACCGCAAGGUCGACGGUAUUCCUAUUGAAGAAUGAGCCUGCGAGUAUGCUGUAUGUCGCUUGCUUAAGCCCCUCUGGGGCGAAGGCACAGGGAAACCGAGUCUUAAUAGGGCGUCGGUGGCAUGCACAUAACCCGAAACCGGGUGAGCUAUCCAUGGUCAGGAUGAGUCUUGUAGAAAUACAAGAGGAGGUCCGAACUCACGCGCUGUGCAACACGCGGAGAUGAAUUGUGGAUAGGAGAGAAAUUCUAAUCGAACUCGGUGAUAGCUGGUUAUCCUCGAAAUAGCUUUAGGGCUAGCCUCGAGUGUUCCUGCUGGUGGUAGAGCACUGGAUGAGAAUUGGGUCCUUCGGGAUACCGUUUUCAAUCAAACUCCGAAUGCCAGUAGUCAGAACUCGGGAGUCAGACAGUGACGGCUAAGCGCCAUUGUCAAAAGGGAAACAGCCCAGAUCGCAGUCUAAGGUCCCUAAAUUCAUGUUAAGUGUAAAAGGUGGUGUUAAUUCUUAUACAACCAGGAGGUUUGCUUAGAAGCAGCAAUCCUUUAAAGAAAGCGUAACAGCUCACUGGUCAAGAGUUUUCGCGCCGAAAAUGUACCGGGGCUAAAACAUGAUACCGAAGACGCGAAUUCGUGUGGGGAACUUAUUUUCCAAAGUAAAUAAUUUCUCUGACGAUUUGCAAAGCAAAUCGUCAGUAAAUGCUUAAGAAAAAGCAUGAUACUAGAAGUUAUUAAACUUCAUAAAUUGGACAAUGAGUUCCCCACAUGGGUGGUAGAGGAUUGUUCGCAACUGCACUGAAGCCAUAGACGUGAGUCGUGGUGGAGCGUUGCGAAGUAAGAAUGCAGGCAUAAGUAGCAAAAACUAAUGUGAGAAUCAUUAGCGCCGAAAAUCCAAGGUUUCCUGGGCAACGCGAAUCGACCCAGGGUUAGUCGGUCCUAAGGUGAGCCCGCUUUACCGCGGGGUAGUCGAUGGACGAGCAGGUUAAUAUUCCUGCACUAUGUUAAGUUUGAUUUUAGUUGCGCACCUUUGAAGCUCAAGCGUGUUUCGAAUAUGCACGUUACGCAAGUUGGAGAUGAAGCCUUCGGGUGGAGUCAACUUGAGUGGGCGAGGUGCCUAGAAAAGGCUAAAAUCGUUAAGCUUAAUGUAUCCGUACUGUAAACCGACACAGGUGGAUAGGUCGAGAAGACCAAGGCGUACGAGAGAACCUUCGUUAAGGAACUCUGCAAUACAGCGGCCGUAACUUCGGGAUAAGGCCUGCCCAAUUAAUUUGGGUUACAACAAAAGACGCACUGCGACUGUUUACCAAAAACACAGCUCCCUGCAAAAGCGCAAGCUGAAGUAUAGGGGGUGAUGCCUGGCCAGUGUCAGAACGUUAAAGGGAGAGGUUAGACGCAAGUCGAAGCCUUGAACUGAAGCGCUGAUGAACGCCGGCGGUAACUAUAACCGUCCUAAGGUAGUGGGUUCAAAUUUUGAAUCUACUAGGAUUGGGACGGGUGUAGCGAUAUGUAAACAUUCGUCACGACGAGCAGAGUCGUCAAAUAAACAGCCAUUCAAAAAGCUGCCUUACUUUACAGUAAUGUGAAGUAUAAUCCGAUCAUAGCCAUAUGCUGGGAAGUCCCGAAAGGGGCGAUCAGCAGGAAACCAAUCUCGUUGAUUGGGAUCCUCAGAGACUAAACGCUAUGCCCCGUCCAAUUUUCUUCGAAAAAUGUGGCGGGUGAAGAUAUAGUCCUUCGCGCCUGGAAGCGAAAAGCGAAAUUCCUUGUCGGGUGAGUUCCGACCUGCACGAAUGGCAUAACGAUAGUGCGACUGUCUCAACGAGGGACUCGGUGAAAUUGCAAGGGAGGUGAAGAUGCCUCCUACCCGCAACUAGACGAAAAGACCCCGUGAAGCUUUACUACAAUUUGCUAUUGGUAUAAGUUUAUUUAUGUUCAGUGUAGGUGGGACCCGCAAGGGGACAAUGAGACACCACCCUUAAAUAAUUUUAUAUCUAAUUUUCUCCCAUGAAUCUGGGAGAGAAGACAGUGGCUGAUGGGUAGUUUAACUGGGGCGGUUGCCUCCUAAAAUGUAACGGAGGCGUUUACAAAGGUCAGCUUAGCUCGGAUGGAAAUCGAGCUGGACGUGCAUACGCAAAAGCUGGCUUUACUGCGAGGGCUACAACCCGAGCAGUCGCGAAAGCGGAAGUAAGUGAACCGACCAUCCUAUAUAGGAAGGUGGAAGAUCAACGAAUAAAAGCUACUCCGGGGAUAACAGGCUGAUCGCGCCCAAUAGUCCACAUAGACGGCGCGGUUUGGCACCUCGAUGUCGGCUCAUCGCAUCCUGGGGCUGGAGAAGGUCCCAAGGGUUUGGCUGUUCGCCAAUUAAAGCGGUACGCGAGCUGGGUUCAGAACGUCGUGAGACAGUAGAAUUUUGACUUUUUAGUCAAAGCCGUGCUGUCUAUAAAUCUAGCUAAAUGCUGGAAACUCUGGAUAAGUCUCAAAGGAGUGAGACUUGUGAAUCUCACACUACUUGUGAUAUAAUGGAAGUGAGCGAGCGUAAUAUGUUGUUUACAACAUAUUAUCGAGCGAACGACAUUAUAUGCGUUAGCAUAUACUAAAUAUAUUAUGAGUGAAAAUGUGUUGAGUGCAGACAAUCAGCAGGAAAGACCAAAUACGGUCCUAAAUCCGUGGUAUAUUGUGGGUUUUGUAGAAGGCGAAGGAACUUUUCAUAUCGCAUUUUAUCGAGAUCCAAAUAUGAAACAAAGAAUCAAGGUGAUUCCAGAAUUUCAUAUCAACCAAAGCUAUUUAAGAAUUUCAACAUUAAAAGAAAUUCAUAAAUAUUUUGGUUGCGGAUAUAUCAAGGUAAAUCACGCGCAGCGCGUCAAUGACGAUACUUAUGUAUAUGUCGUACGCGAUCGCGAGGACUUGUGUAACAAGAUUAUUCCGUUCUUUCGGAAAUAUCCGUUACGUUCUAUCAAACAAGAAAGUUUUAUGAAGUUUGCCGAAAUUGUCGAAAUGAUGAAAUUGAGCAAGCACCGCGAACUCGCGGGAAUUAAAAAAAUCAUAAAAUUGGCUUAUCAGAUGAACAUCGGCGGAAAAUACCGAAAGGUAAAGCAGGAAGAUCUCUUACACUAUUUGGAAUCCUCAGAGACUACAUGCUAGACGCUUUUGCCGGUUAGGCAAAAGUAAAGAUAUAGUCCGAACUGUAUGGCGACAUACAGAGUGUGGUAGAAAUAUCACACCGUCUCAAAGUAUGAGAAUGUAACAAUAUUGUCGGUCUCCUAUCUGUUGCGGGCGUUGAAUGUUGAGAAGGCUAACUCCUAGUACGAGAGGACCGGAGUUGACGAACCUCUAGUGUGCCAGUUGUUCCAUCAGGAGCAUCGCUGGGUAGCUAUGUUCGGCACGGAUAAACGCUGAAAGCAUCUAAGCGUGAAGCCGUCUUCAAGAUAAACAUUCGUUAAGACCACUUGUAGAUUACGAGUUUGAUAGGCUCUACGUGUAAGCCCGGUAACGGGUUGAGCGGAGGAGUACUAAUCGGUCGAGCGCAUGACGAG
rfam:Candidatus Magasanikbacteria bacterium RIFOXYA2_FTLL_44_8 rifoxya2_full_scaffold_1549, whole genome shotgun sequence.